rnacentral:rRNA from 1 species
GACAGAGGGUGCAAACGUUGUUCGGAAUUACUGGGCGUAAAGCGCGUGUAGGCGGCCCAGCAAGUCGGAUGUGAAAGCCCUGGGCUUAACCUAGGAAGUGCAUUCGAAACUGCUGGGCUUGAGUUCUGGAGAGGAAGGCGGAAUUCUCGGUGUAGAGGUGAAAUUCGUAGAUAUCGUAAGGAAGACCAGUGGCGAAGGCGAGUCUCUGGACAGUUACUGACACUGAGGCACGAAGGCCAGGGGAGCAAACGGG